UACGGGGGGGGCAAGCGUUGUUCGGAAUUACUGGGCGUAAAGGCUCGUAGGCGGCCAACUAAGUCAUACGUGAAAUCCCUCGGCUUAACCGGGGAACUGCGUCUGAUACUGGAUGGCUUGAGUUCGGGAGAGGGAUGCGGAAUUCCAGGUGUAGCGGUGAAAUGCGUAGAUAUCAGGAGGAACACCGGUGGCGAAGGCGGGU
rnacentral:rRNA from 1 species